CGUUUCAUAGUUCCAUGUUCUAUUAUCUUAUCAUUCGACGAAACGCAUUCUUAUAAUAUACGUUACAUAAAAUAAUUCAUUCAAUAUUUGCCCUAACAAUAAAAUUUAUCAGUACUAAUAACCAACAACACCACAAAUUUCACACUGUGCCAAUCUGAAGAAAAAUAAACAUUAAAUUAUAGCUACUUAACGUUUCAUAUUAUUACACGUAUAUUACCUAUCCAAUAAAAUAUGUCCUGUAACCUCCAUUACAUGCCAAUCUAUAAAACCGCACAUUAACCUAGCCAAUAUUCCAAAGGCAACAAUAGCAAUACAAAUUAUACACUUCAACAAGCUGAAGAAAAACAAAGAGAGUCCCUUUUGUCGAUUAACAAACAAAAUUGACGACAAGAAUACGGAAAAUAGUCUAGGACCAGUUGUUCAUUCGCGUGGGGUAAAUAUUUACUUGGAAGCAAAUCGGUGAAGAGCACGAGCGCGUUGCGGCCUCGAUCCAUCGAGGGCGGUAGAAUCGAUUGAAUGGCCGUCGCUGAAACGACGAAUCCUUCCCACCGACACGGUCCACUCUUCGUCACAAAUAGAGUUUCUCAGGGAAUCGGUUUCAAAUCGAAUUUUUUAGAUUCUUUGAGAUUUUCUUCUCAUGAGCUACACUACCGAAUGGUCAACGUGAAGAAAUAAUACAUAUACAUAUACAAGCAUGAUCUUUUGGGCUUCUAAAUAUCAAGUUACGUUUCUGAUAUACGGAGCCGGUCUGACUGUCGAUAUCAUUUGUAAACUCGUGUAAAUUAGUCCAUCAGAGAAGAGAAUUCUUUUGUAUCUUUCGAGUGACUGGCAAGAUGCCACAGGAUCUAAGAGCGAAAUUUUUUUUGUCGAGUUAGUACUCAAGUUGAGAGUAUCUCGUUUAAAUUGUGGCGAAUGAAGUCUCGUUUCGAUUGUGGAUGACUAAACGUUCGGAUUUUACAUCUAAAGAGUAAUUUUUGUUUGAAAUAGGAAUAAAAAAACUUGUUUCAACUAAUUUAAUAUUUUUAUUUCAAAAGUAUUUUAAUCAUUUCCCUAGGUGUAUGAUAUAUAUAACUUUCUAUAUAUUAAGUAUUAUAUUUGUACUCUUGUAGGCUAUUAAUUGAACAAUGUAUUUGUUUUCAGUAAAACCAGUUUGAUAUUUUAGAACAUUGUGUCUUCUUUACGAGACCAUCCGAAAUUCCAGGUAUGUACCUACUAUUAAUAGGAAAAUAAAAAAAUUGGCUAUGCCAAUUGAUCGAAUUCUUGUUUGCCUUGUCGAGUACGAGAGCAUUCUACUAUAAGUUCAAGAACAGCAUUUGAAAGACUCUUUUGUUUCACAUGUUAUUUCAUUCUGCGUCAAUGGCCACAUACAAUGUUUAAAUAUCUUAUUUGAACUUCCUUGUUAUAGGAAUAUAUAUUUUGGUCUACAUUUGUGCAUACAUUAUUCUACUGCAAAUAUAAUUAUUUAAACAUUCAACUUCAACAACUGAUAGUCAAAUGAAAUUUUAAUUCAACUAAAUCUGUGACCCUUCUUAUUACAGAAAUAGCAGUUCAGAUGUCUUUCAAGUAUUCUUUAAAAAUAGUCUGUACCUAGUGUGUGAUAUAACAACUAAUUUUUCAAGUCCAACUUUAUCACAAAUGAAAUCUCCAACGCAAUUUCGUCAUUCCUAUCUUCCAUGUUAUUUUGAGCCAUAAAAUCUCGCUGACUUCAAUUGUACCACGAAUUUAACAUCUAACGGUGGAUGUGCUCCUCCUUUUUGUGUUAAUUAUUUUGGCCACAGUGGCCGUGUUACUGCGUGUCGGAAUUUCGUAAUGCUACCUAUGAAGUUACACCCGUAGCCAAGAACAAAGACGCAGUCCUACGUGAAAACGCGAGAACGAUACUCGAAACGAAACAGCCGUCGCACACCGACUGCCACAUCUGAAUUCAUUUCGCACAUCCGCGCCACGAAAGUAGUACGUGUCGGGUCUAAAGUUCAGCCGAACGUACAAGCUCCUACCGGCCGUGAAUCACGAAAAACCGUCGGGGCUCAUCGUUAGGUGACGCGACGCCCGUAUGCUCGUGUGCGAUAAAAAUUGUCCAACGAAUCAAGCAAGGCGAACGAAGUUGCGAAACCUAUAGAUCACGAGUUACGUACGAUGGUAACAAGGCUGCUUCGUACGUAUAUGAAGGAUCGAGCGAGUAUCACCUUUGCGUUUUGAUCAUAGAUGAUUGAUUUUCGAGUCUGGAUAUCCACAAGGUGGUGAAGAGCUCAGACAGUGGGACCAGAACCAACGACCAGCACUUACCGCGGCCGCGAUCAUUAAAAAGCAGCCGUGUCACUCGCGCGCACAACGAGUUCAACGAAACACGGGAAUGUUGAUCACGUUUCUUCUCUUCGAUGUGAAAUAGACGAACGAAGUCAAGUGUUUGGAUACGCGAGGGAGACAGAAAAGGAGCAAUAGAGUGAUAACAGGGACAGAGAGGUGAGAGGUGGUGAAAGGAGAGCGGCUCGAGAGACGAGAGAAAGAGAGAGGUUAUGUGCAGACGACGACAGGAGAAAUUCCAGCGGGCGGCAGCGCUGAGGUCCACGGAUAGUUCGUCCGUUCCUUCGUUCCCCUCGUCCGAUAAGUGAUGAUUCCACGACGAUGAUUCGAGAGGACCGAUUGGGUGGGACGCGUUUUAGCCUCGUUGGAUCUUCGACGUCCGUUUCAUCGUGUAUAUGCCACAGACCAAUGAUUACGAGUGUAUCUUAAGAACUUGGAGGAUUUCUUCGGACGAGGAACAACGAACGGGGUAAUUAAAUUUCGUUUAUUAUUUUAUGUCCCAAGGUAUAGCCUGCUUUAUCGCAUGUAUAUUCAUUCGAUCUCAUGCUUUGCGUCUUAAAGACGGUGUUUGAUUCGCAACCACUCAAAGAAUCUUCUUUCGAUGAUAUCGUUUCGUGUCUGGACCGCUUCUUCUUGCUCGCUGUUUGAAGGAUCGCUCGAUGUCUCGAACGAAUCCGUGAGUAUAUUGAGGAACGAAUUUAAGAUAUGGGUGUGAUGCACUGUUACGACUUCCUAAUUAAUCACACUAUAUAUCACUCUCUCUUUAACGAACUAGGAUAAAUGAAAAGAACGUUGAAAAACGGAUAGGAAGACAGCGCGCACCGGUUAUAUCCCUGGAAACGAUUCGUGCGGAAAGCGAUACGCUGUUCUUCUUCUGCCACCUCCUCCUCCACCGCCUUCUCCUUUUCUACCGAUUCUUUUCAUUCGCGUACGCAUACGUUUUCCCACGCACCGAGGCAAAAAACCACACACUUACGGAGACUGACUGGAGGGAAAGAAUAGCGGGAAAAAGAUGGAGAGAAGAAAGGAACGAGGGAAGAGCGCGACGGUGAUCGGGAGUUGAUGCUAGGGCAUCGCAGAGAGCGGGCAAGGCAGAAAUGUCGGUGUUACUACCAGCUUGGAGUAGCAAGCACCGGUAAAACACGGUCCUAACUAACACACAUGGAGACAGAUUGGGGACUGCUGCUUCGGAGUUUACUAUAGGAUGGGACGGAUGGUGAUGGCGGCCGUAGCAGAGCAGCCACCGCCCCCAUGCUUCUUCUCUCUCUCUUCGUCUCCCUUGUCUUGUUCGACCGCCACCCCCACCACCGUUUCUCACUGCUAUUUCCCUCCACUCUCUACUUCUCCCCGUAACCGUUCCAACCGUUCUCCUAUUCUCCCCUCUAUGCGUUAUGAUGGACACGCUGGAACUCCCCUCUUCAACAUCCAACUUACCCCCUUUCUCUCCCACUUCUCUUGCACGCUUCUCUCUACAUUUCCUCCUCUUCCUCUUACUCUUCACAUACAGGUCUCUGCUAUAGCUUUCCCUGGGCUACGAGAUGUUAUCCUCGAGCGAUUCGUGCGUACUAUACAUAUAUUCGUCUACCCGUGUCGUCGCCACAUCCCCUACCUGCGUCGCAUCUCGACGUGUGCGUUGGCCGCAAUCAAGGUCAGGAGCGUAACCGGCUAGCUAUGGCACCCCGCUCUAUCGAUUCUAUAUACCACGGUUUCAUUACGAUGACGACGUCGACGACGAUACAAAGGUGGUAGCCAGAGGGAACUUAUACUUAUGUAGUCGAGCAGUAUUGUUUUCACUAAUAUAGCGGUUUAUGGAUCGCGGUGGUGUUCCGUUAUCGUGGCGCAUUCGUUCACCGGAAACCUGGUAUCUUUUGGCUCAUUGGCUCACAGAUGUGAUUACCUCGUUAUUUAUCUGCUGAAAGGAAGGAUGCGUGUUGCGCCGAUAUUGUAUUUACUUUUAUAUAGCUUCCUCUUCACGUGUUCUAUGCGCAUCCUCCAAGAUACUUCGCUGAAAUACCAGUCGAAUGGGGGUGUGUAAAUCUACGAGAAUGUUGCUAUCAAGUAUAUUCACGUCCAAUAAAUUUUCGUAGCAAUUUCGUAAAGGAAAACAGUUUUCGUGUAAGACGAAGGUGAUGAAACGAAAAGACGUUAGAAAGAUGAAUUAGUUUCUUCUUGAAUUUUUUUGAGGUCGUUUGUCAAGUCAAUUUGUCAAUUGAAAAAUUCAAUAUCGUUUCGUGAUGUUUAUACAUAUCACGAGAUAUUUUGCAAUCACGGCUCGAAUACCUCGGACUCUCCCGGAGGGGAAACGAGAUAACAUUCGGUAGCGCGUGCGGUUAUCUUCGUCGAUUCCCUUGACUUUUCACCGCCGUGAGGUAUGUAAAUACGUUUUAAAGUAGACAAGAAGCUCUUAUUCGCGAUGCAAUCUACGUAACAACGUCGCAUCGGUAUCAACGAAAUUUUCCAUUCUCUCCUCUUCCUAGCAAGAAUAGUUCAACAAUAAACAAUUCUAUCAUCACGAAAAUAUAUACAGUGGCUAAGAAAAGUAUUUGUAUAUAUAUACCCUUAUUUCAUGACGUAUCUUUUUAUCAGGUACGUAUUAAAUUUUCAUACUCAUAUGAGAAUAUUUAUUACUAGAUAGAUGAUGCAAAAUUUAAUAUACUUGGAUCUAAUUAAUUAUCACGCAGAUGCAAUGAUGCAAAUUGCAAAUUUUUUAUAGUCACCGUACAUCUAAUUUAAUACAUAUCGUCUAAUAAAGGAAUCGCGAGUAUCACCUUCAGUUCAUAUACUAACAACGUUAAAAACAUAUUAAGUUGAUUAUUAGCCAAUAAUAAUCGAUUUGAAAUGGAGAUCGGUAAGACUUAUAUCCAGCAGUUUCUAACUUCGUUUCCAGACCACGGUUUCCUUCGAAUAAACGUCAGAUAAACGUGCGCGCACCGCAAGAAAGAGAGAACGCAGGAAAGCGAAGUUAACCCGCAGGCUUGGUCGAGCUACAAGGUAGCUUAUCGUCGGCAACUACGAUAUUGAUGGCUAAUGUGUACGUACAGCCGCGACGAAAGCAGAGACGGCAAGCAGUGGCGGCAGUGUCCGAUACUAUUAUUAGUGUGCAGCUGCCUGCGAAUUACUGAAUGAAAGGGAAGGACCGCUUCGAAACAAUAUCCGAAAGAGACGGGAGGCACGCUGCAUCGUUUAAAGCGACAGCCAUCCGACGAUUAUUUAGAGUCAGAUUUACGCGUGUACAUCUAUGUAUGCGUACGCCAUCGAACGAAAGCGUCGCGCGUAGUCGUCAUGAAUCGAUUGAUUUGUAAAUUAAUGUAUAUUCCUUCGUACUUGGAUUCAAUCAAACCUUGAAUAUUACAUGAAUCGAUCAACAUGAAAAUUUAAUACUGAACUUAUUGUCCAAUGGAGCAAGGUAAGAACGACCGUAAUAUAUUAUUUUGAAAGUCAUCUAUCACACGUUCGAGUAUACGUAUCAGGUUACGAGAGAAGUAUGGACAAUUAUUUAGCGUCACGUUGAUUGUUUGCUUUGAAUAUCAGCGAAAGACUGGACUGAAUUUUCUCUGAUGAGUAUAAACGUUGAUUCACAUACGAGUAGGGAAUUGUUCAUGAAACUAAUUUGUGAGAUAGUCAUACGUUUAUUUCAGUCCUGAGCCACAUAGAAGAACAAACAUAUUGUACAUAUGUACUUACGUGUUAUUACGUACUUCACAUUUGAGACGAUUGGAACUGUAUCAGGAAAAUCUUCUGAAUAAACAGUUCCUUUUUUGACUCUUAUAUAUACAUUUUCUUACACAUUUUUGUAUUAAGAAAAUUUAUUGCAAUAUUUGAAAUUUAUCUCUUUCCUGAGGCUUAAAAAAGAUGAAGAUAUAGCAUAUGACAGAAGAACACAAAUGAAAAGGGAUCAUCGUACACAAUUUUCUUGUGUUCAAGUGUUAAACGAGAAGCGUCGGACUGUGGUCGUUUAAAGCCGGACUUAUAUACCAGCGAAAGCAUAGCCGGACCAUCUCCAUUCAACGAGUACUGGCAAUUAGAGCCAAUAGUUGCCGACCCCUUCUCCCAAAGGUCUUGUCUCGAGGUGUUGAAUUUCUUGGUAUCUCACCAGUUGAACCAUCAUCGUUCUACCAGCAUUUCAACAGAACGCUCCAAAUCGUAAAAACCUCUUUCGAUUAUCUAUACGACCCCCGAAAUUCCAAAACCAAUGAAAUUACCCUCCACUCUUUUAAAAACAACGAAACUUCUCAAUGUACCUCUCAAAAAAUUUCCAGUAUUAUUAAUAUAUAGUAACUACAAGAAGUAUUCGCAUACUACUUAAUGAUGUACAAACAUACUAAAUUUCGUAUCAUUUUAUAUGAAUUUCAUAUACUAUGAAAAUGAAAUGGGAUAGAAUCUGAUAAAAAAAAACCGUUUCAUUCAUGCUCGUUGUAGCUACUGUAAUCAUGACAGUCGUCGUGUUUCAUUACUAGACUGCAGAUUUGUACGUAAAUUCAUAUUUUUAUAAACUUAAUUAAACAAACGGAAUCUAAGCAGAAUAUCAUUACAAGGACUAUAGUUCGCGUAUUUUACAUAUUCUUGCAUAUUAUAUACAUUUUUACGAUUUUAAGUUUUCUAUAGAUGCAUAAAAAUCCGCAGUCUACUGAUUGCAGUGCAAAGAAAUUUCAAAAUAUUUUAUACAACUCGUGCAAUAUUGUAUAAAAGUUUACCAUGUUAGGUAUUCAAAUACGUUCACGAGCCACUAUAUAUAACGUUUGUAGCAUGUUAAAAGCCCUUAAUCAAGGAUUCCAAAGGGGUCGUUAGUGCUUCAGUGAUAAGAAACGUGCCUAAGGAUGAAAUCUCCUUCGGUGGAUACGGUACUGCGCGAUCUCCGGCGUGGCGGGUCCAGCAAUGACGCGGAGAUCACCGAGCGUAUCCGAAUUCGGCCGACUUUAAUCGAGUGGGAGUCGAGCAUGGUGCGUGGUGGGGAGUUUGUCUUCUCGCGGAGGGGAAUUCCCCGAUGCCGGUGCGGUGUGGUGACCACACCGUGUCCCUUUUUGUUGCCGCCCAUUAGGCGCCACCACGGCGUGAUUCGCAACCGUGUUUCUUUAUCUUCGCCGUAGCCAGGCUAGACUCUGCGAACGCGACCGACUGCACGCGUUCUUGCCUAUCUUUCCACCCUGUCUCUUUUUUCUGUCCUUCUCUUCCUCCCUUUGGACAAUAGCAGAGUGAUUCACCGUAGGUACGAUGUUUCCGAUCUCUGUGUAGUAUAUGCGCGCAGAUAAGUUGCCGCGUGCCACGUUUCGAGUUCCGUCUCUCCCCACGCGUUAUGAUCACGUUUCGACUUUUGAAUCGUAGAGAAAGAUACAGAUACACUUCUCUUGGAAGGAUUUAGUGGUGGAGAAAAAUCUUCCUUAUUGGGAACUGGGAUGGUUUAUAUGGAAAUGUUUUAGAGGGUAUUUCCGUUUCGUGUUGUUUCGAAAAGAUUUAUUCCUGGAGUAUACUUUCCCCUCUAUUGGAUUGUUCGAAAGUAAGACCUCGUACGUUCAAGGAAUUCUGAAAGUUAACUGGAACGUUCUCGUGUUUGAAAAACAUUUACAAGAAAUUAAUCGAACAACGUAAUCGUAUUCUAGAAUCUAAAAGACUCGUAAAGCUACAGGUGACGAAAAUUCUACUUAAAUUUUAAAUCUUUCUUAACUUCCGUUACAAACUUUCCAAACAACGCAAUAUAUAGUGAUAUAUGGCUUCAUUUUUUAAAUGGUACUUGAGAUCUUGGAGGGUUUAUCUCGCUUAUCUCGUCUCAAAGAUUGAUACCUUUUAAGUGUACAGUAUAGUUGAACGCUUUUAUCUCGAGCUAUAUAUUAAUCAGCGAUGAUGGAAGGAAUAAACGUCUAACGAGGGUUCGACUUCUUUUUCUCCUUGGUCCGUUCCAAUUGGAGGUAACCAUUUUUUCCACUUGUCUUUUUACGAGUUCAUUCAGCCACGUUCCAGGGUUUUAUAUAAUGAAAAACUGGACCAGAUUUUUAUCUUCCGUGGACGAGAUGGGGUAACUACGCGGUGUGGAAUAACUGGAUGGAAAGGCCAGUCGACGCUUAUUGUUCCAGGGAUCAUCGGUCAAUUGUGUUUUACCAAAGAUUGCGCUUUCUUCUUAUCCAGAUAACGCGCGGUUUUAUACCACCGUCUUUCACGGAUGACCGAUGGCGUUGGCUCGCCUCAUUGCUUUUUCGUUCGAUACAUCGAUGAGUUCAUUGCGACCGACUGAAUUUUUCUAUGAUUCAUGCCAUGCCAACUAAGCUGAUCAUGAAUUCUAAACUCUUCUCGAGAAAUGUAAUCUAUAGUUUCUAACCAUCGGUAGCCAUAUAAUCGUCAAUGAGAUCAGAAUGGAAUUGGUCGGAGAUCGAAUUAAAAUAUUAGUAUUAAUAAAUUCUAUUUUCAUAAAACCAUUUUUCAUUGAGAAUUUAUCGUACUUUCGUCUUGUUUUUAAUUCUUAUUAACGAUAAGAAAUUGAACUAUGGCAAGUUAUCCCUCAUUGUUAAGAUAUUAAUUGAUAAUUGUUACUAUCUUUCCCUAUUAGAGUUUUAUUUUGUUUUCAAUUAAUUCUUUCAAUGUUUGUCGUUAGAACUGAGAUUAUGGAAAUCGGGAUUACGAAAAGUUAAUUUAUUGUGUCUAUUUUUCUUGUAGCACCGUAAAGAAAAGCGAAGGGUGACUUAUCGUUGUGCCACGAAAUCGAUGUUCUUUAUCGCUUCUCCUGGAAAGCGUAAGUUUUUUCCUUUGGACUGCUCAAAUUUCACCGUAUCUUACAACCUUUAGCCUGGCCACCUAUACAAAACGAAACGUAAACGCCAAGGUUCGACAAUUUGUUAGAACGAAUGGGGACUGGCGGUUGCAUAUAUGUGUACUUGUGUACAGGCUGAUUCAUUUGUCUGUCUAACAAAGUUUGCAUAUACUCGAUCUUGCAGGCUGUGUAAUUUCCAGAAGAGAUAAUUAAAACGGAUUCUUCCUUCCUAAC